UCUUUCGCUCCGCUGUUUGCUUCGUCGGACAAAUAUGAAUCCGGAUGCGGCUGGCCGAGCUUCACCAAACCGAUCGAGCCGGCGAACGUCAACGAAGUGACUGACACGAGCCAUGGCAUGGUCCGCACGGAAGUGCGCUCGGUGCACGGCGACAGCCAUCUUGGGCACGUCUUCGACGAUGGC
rnacentral:misc_RNA from 1 species